UGAGCCACCCAGAUGCCCCUGAUGGGAAUUUCUUAAGUGGGUCACCGUUAAGUGGCCGGCACCAUCCACACUUACGUAACAAGUACAAUAGUGCAUUUCACGAGAUUUUUUUUUUCUUACAAUAUCCCUUCAAAGCAAAGAGCUGUUUUAUAAAAGUACCUCUAUAAGGAGAGAGCUUUUCUGGCUCUUGCUGCUUCAUCAGAUGCUAACUUGGCAUUUAAACCUGCUGUGUAACUAACCUGCCUUCCCCUCACCAUAAUCCGCCCCCUCCACUCCCUUCCCUAGUCUACUGCUGACUUGUUUCUGUCUGGACCUCCUUUAUGAAACACAGAGCAACCAGGGAAUAAGCAAAGGUGACAUCGGGGUGGUCGGGCCCUUGUCAUAUGGCCUGUGGCAGUGGCAAGCCCCACAGCUGAGGCUUUGAAUGGCCAAUGAAAGACAAGUAUCACCCUUGUCCUCAACCCGCCCCGCUCCCCAGUUUAUGCCAUUGAUACUAAAGGGACAUGGGAAAUCAGGUGGCAAAACCAUGUUUUUUGUUAAGUAUCUCGAAGGUAAUUAAGUAUUUUUUCUUGUUUUGCUUUGUUUAAGCUAGGUGUGUAGUGUUUCUCAGACUUUCUGAUCAUCUUGAGCUUGGGUCUUCCCUGUGUAUUUUACUUAGUAUCUGUCGGAAGUGUGAUACUCCACACACUCAGUCUCCAAGAAUACGAUGGUUUUCCUACCAAAUUACAGAGAAAAGGUGUCUAAAAAGUGUCAAGGCAAGUUUAAACAUUCUCAGAGAGUGAUCUCUCCAUUUGUCUGGCAGACCCAGAGACGUGGAACAGAAUGAAAAGCAGAGCCUCUGUGGGUCCCCUCUUCUCUUUUCUGGCUGUUUUGGAUCGUACUGUCCUCCUCAGGAUUUCCACUGAGCGGCCUUGUCCUCAGCCAUCCCCACAUCACUGAGGGCGCCAAGAACUAAGGCGUUACCUUAGUGGGGCACCACUAUGGGGUUCCAGGGGCCAUGAGAUGUGAGCCUUCUCUCUCAUAGCUGCCUUCUGGACCUUACAGGAGAUCCUUUUCGCCUGCUCAGGAGGUGAAGUGGUAAAACAGCUCCCCACUAGGCUAGCGUGAGUGAUUUCAAGGGUAGUGUUUCUCUCGUCUCUCUGAGCUCUUAGUCCAUUGUUUCCCCUUAAGGAUAGUAAAAACUUUGAGGAAAAGAAGCAAAGUCCUUCCUGGAAGACAAAUUAUAAAUGUAUGUAACCUCUGUGUAAUGCUUUUUUUUUUAAAGUUCAGAAUCCUUCUUAGGGGGAAAAAAUGGACAUGACCGUACCUUCCUCAUAGAGUGGCACCCUGUCACCAUCCAGACCCUUCGUCACUGAAAUCCUCCUUUACAGAUACAUUCAUUGUGUAUUUAGUGAUGCUUUUAUUCAUGCCAAGAGAGGUUCAUAAUAAAUACAGAACAAAGGCCUCUUUUCACUAAUCUUACACAUAAGCAUAAAAACACCUGAAAGCAACAUUUAAGGGCAUCUCUAAAUUGUAGUAAUAGAAGCUAGCAUGUACGGAGCCCUUGUGAGGUGCCAGGCAUGUUCACGACACUUUAAAUCUGUAUCUCAUCUAAUUGUCGGUGGGCCCAUAAGGAAAGCAUUUUCUUCUCUCACGGGUAAGGCCGUUGAGGCUCAGAAAAGUAACUUACCUAAGGUCACAUGGCAAGCUAGCGUCAGAACUGCUCUUCCAGUUUACCUCAGACUCCAAAGCCUAUGGCUGCCUCCCCGGGAUCCCACUUAUUUCCUGUGGGUAAGAGCGUUGGAGCAGACCCACCAAGAGGAGACGAGAAGCACAGUAUCAGCGUGCCCGCCACCGUGGCAGGCGGAGCAGAGCCGGACAGCUGUAGAGAGAGAAGUUAAACUUCACCUCUUCCAAAAGCCAGUAGGCUAACCUUGCCACCCCGUUAGGUGGCUGCCAGCUUGAUCACGAGACAGGGAAAGGACAUGAUGUAAUUACGAAGCGCCCCCCCGGCCGCCUCUUUUGCCCGCUGGCUUCGGCCGCGGGUACGGGAGUGCAGCCUGGCCGGAGGCAAACGGGGGUCCCGAGCCCCGAGGGGAGCUUGUGUGUGGAGACCCAGAGAGACCCCAGUGGGGACAGUCCCUCCACAGGUCAGCCUGCAGGGUGGCACCGAGGGGCUGCGGAAGGCCGUGCCUGUUUCUCAUGAAUGUUCGGUAGGGUCUCGCACUGCUGCCGCCUGCAUCUCUUCGGAAAGGCGGGAAGACCGGCUUCUGGCUCCGCACUGGCCAAGCGCAGAGGCCGCCCGCGCGCGGUGGUCACCUUCUCGUUUCUGAUUUCCAGGCAGCCUCGGAACCCGUCCUGGACCUGCAGCAAAUCCAGGCCUUUGAUCAGCUUUGCCGUCUCUACCGAGGAAGCUCCCGGCUGGCUCUCCUCACAGAGCUCUCCCAGAAUCGCAGCAGUGAGAGCUACAGGCCAUUCAGUGGCUCCCAGAGUGGCCCUGCUUUCAACAGCGUCUUCCAGAAUGAGAAUUUCCAGCUGCAGCUCAUUCCCCCACCUGUGACUGAGGACUGAGGCCUCUUGGGGGGCCUGGCACUGGAGACCAGACAUGAUCCUGAUGCAGUCAGGGAGGGACCCGUCUCUAACUGGCUUGGCCCCUCCGCCUGCCCCCUUCUGAGCCGAGGUGGAUGUCCGUGCCCGGGCCUUUCUCCACGCCCGUCAUCCCCCGGGGAGACUCCCUGUCUCUCCCAGGAUGUUGCAGCAGCAUCAGUUCACCGACCAGUUGAUUUUGUUUGCUUAUUCAGCAAAGGAAUGUCUCAUACUUCCAUCCAGCUUUUUAAGAACAUAUGCUUUGCCCUUUGGGACUUUUUUCAGUUUCCCUGAAGCUUUGAGAAUAGAUGGGACUUGGGCAGAUGGCAUUCAGGAGUCUGUCCUACUUGGUCCCCUCCAGCUGCUGGGUAACAUGGAGGAACUCGAGCUCUUGCUGCUGUCAGGAAGACAGAACAGUGGUGGGCCAGGCAGCAGGAGAACUGAAAGCAAACACCUGGGGGCAGGGCAUCGCCCUUUUGAUGCGUUUACGUGAAAACCCAUUUGAGUGUAAGCUUUGCCCUAACAAUAAAUGCCUCUCUGUUUAAGUUCUGCA